rnacentral:lncRNA from 1 species
AUCCAAUGGCUCUCCUUUUCAUCAUCCCUUGGAGCCCAAUAUGUCCACAAAUGGUCAUUGUCUAGCAUAUUUUCAGGUCCAAAACCUCCUCCUUUGCCUCCUCUUCGGCUACUAACUUUGAUAGAACAUUUCUCUGCUAAAUUGGUAGAAAAUAUUGCGUCGAUUGCACUUCUGAAUUCUCUCAGUCUUUGAACAUCUUCGUCGGCUAUGAGCCCAGUCGGAUUAGGAGGCACAUUGAGUAGCAGCACACAAUUUCUCCCCACCGAGUUGUAGUAAAUUUCAAGUAGCUUGCUUAGCCUCUUGGGUGACUCUGAUUUAUGCCAAAACCAUCCAUCUCGGAUCGAAACGUCGCACUCUGCCGGCAACCAAUCCGUCCCUUUUGGAUCGCCCUUGUUGAGAUAACUGCAUUCAGUAACAAGACAUUCGUUAGGUGGUGGAUUAAGAUAUGAGAGAGGUCACUUUCCUACAAUAACAUCAAUCAAUCAACCAGUGUCCCUGUAUACACGUUAAGCCAAAUGAGCUACAGUUACGAGUUAUAUCGAAAUGAAUCGUAAUCCUGAAUCUACCCUAAUUCUAACUUGUAACCCUCCCAUCCAUCACUAAACUAGCUACAACUUCAAUUAAUCUGUAAUGCUAAGAGUUUGGCAAUCUACAAAACACUCCAUCUUAAACAAAAUAAAAUGACAGAGGUGGGUUAAGCUUGUAAGUUAGGCAGUGCUCGCCGGCCUAAACACUUCCAUCUUAAACAAAACCAAAUGACAGGUGCGGGUUAGGAUAGUUGACUAAGACAACGUAUCAGUCUGUCUUGCAUUCAAGUACAUCUACUUUUUCGUAAACUAGAGUUGUUCAAAAUAUUGCAUUGUCAGGGAAAAAAAAACAAAUAUAAAACAAGAUAUACCAAAAUGAUGGGAUUUUAUUACAAAGAGAAGAAAAGUGAAUUUCCGUGAAGUAGAAAAUAAAAAAAAAUGGUACUCACUCUUCAAUGCUUGCAUUGCCAAUUGAUAGUGAGGUCCGAUUAAUGGUGGACCAACACGUACUCCCGGCAAACCCUUGCUCAUUUCCAACCCAUCUAACAUCCGGACCAGCAUCCGAAAAUAUGUUAAUGGAGCUCUGCAACUCCUUCACCAUGGAGAACCAAUCUGUGAAAUAAUAGGACAUGUUUGGUGCAUUCUUCCCCUUAUUCCCAUCAAACCAAAUCUCUUUCACACCCCCAUAUCUAUCAACAACAAAACCAAAAAUCAAUAGAAGUUUAGUAUUCUUAACUAUUAAAGUUAAUAUUUUGUAACAGACUUGAGUUACAUCAGUUGAUCAAUGCGGCGAGGCCUUACCUGCUGAGGAGCUCUUGCAGUUGAGCUAAGUAGUACUGGUUGUAGGCAAUCUCAUGCCCGUAUCUCCGAUCAUGUCUAUCCCACGGUGAGAGAUAGAGCCCUAUAUCAAUCCCACGGGGAUUUGCUGCAUCAACCAGCUCAUGCACAACAUCCCCGUGACCAUUUCGCCAAGGACUAUUUGCCACGGAGUGAUCCGUGUACUUUGAAGGCCACAAGCAAAACCCAUCGUGGUGUUUGGCAGUCAGUAUCAUCAGUGAUAUGCCGGCGUCCGACGCUGUUCUGGCCCAUUGGUUGGCGUCGAGACCGACUGGGUUGAAUAUUCCGGGGCUUUCGUGCCCCGUUCCCCAUUCGGAGUCGGUGAAUGUGUUCACUCCGAAGUGGAGGAACAUGAUGAUCUCCCUUUGCUGCCAUUUGAGCUGGGCGUAUGUGGGAAGGGGCAGGAUUGGCAGUGGAGGUGUUGGGACUUGCUCAAGCUUGGAGAAGGUGCAAGUGCACAGCUGAAAGAAUGCGAUUAUCCACAAAGAGCACCAUAUUUUAGCCAUAAUUAUAAUGGCCUUGGCCUGUUGAGUUCUUUUCUUUGUUGUCUAUUUAGCACCUUUUAAAUAGGACUGGAAAUUUUGUAACCACAAUAAAUCCCAGAAGUUGAAAUUGGCCUCAUAGGGUUUAUCUCACUCUCUUUUUCUUUCUUAUAUAUCUUUUUGGGUUUAUGUUACUUAAUUUGCACAAUUUUAGUUUUGUUUCUUGUUGAAACUCUUGCAUGUACAUUAUAAUUGCUAGAGUAUUUACUAUUUUAAGGGUUUCUUUUUCUAUUCUAGCGGUUUUCUAAUUCAAUUUAAUCUAUGAAGAGAGAUAUUCGAACUUGAGUGCAUGUGAAUACAUUGUUCUGAUUCUCAGCUCAAACUUGCUGUUAUUUUUAGAAUUAAAAUGAAAACAAUCUAAACAAACCCAACCAAAUGAAAACAACUAAACAAGCAUACAUCAAUAAAAAAAAAUCAAGGGAAAAUGUCCAAGAAAAUCAUUUAUAAACUAAAAAGGAUGUAGAUGAGGACCAAGCAUGGAGAGAUUGAUGGAGAAAUGCGAAAGCAACAACAACAACUAAUAAUUCUUCACGAAAAGUGAAUUAUUUAGAAGUGGGAAUAGAGGGACCAAACACAUGUAAUGUAAGAGAAUAUUCUCCCAAUAAAGAAAGCCAAACAUGCAUGACACCAAGCAACCUUUUUCUGCAUGAAUUUUUGUUUUCUUCACUUAAUCUUUGCAAUUGUUGUUGCAUGUGAUACAAUCGUUCACGGAUUUCUUGCCUUUUGGUCUGAGUGCAUAGGCGAAGGAUCAUUGUAUGGAUAAACAUCUCCCAUCACCAAUUUAUCAUAACAAGCUUUUAUUAGAUGAGUAGUUCAUAUUUUGAAAAUUCUACAAGUAUUUAUCAUAAAAGUGUCGCGACGGAAACUAUAUUGCAAAACAGAACAUCUCCAUUACAUGGGUUAUUGACUUUGGAGGGUGAGAAAAUCUCUCACAGUGACUGUCUUUCUAGAAGAAAAAUAUGGACGCUUUAGUGGAGAAUAUUGAUGUACGCACAGCAUACCAUGAAACAUGCUUAAAUAUUUAAAAUACUAUGAAGGCCACAUAAUGGAGUUAGGUUGUGGAUCGUCAAGGACAAUCUGUCACUAUAAUUAGGUGAGAUUUUGUAAGGUUUCAUAUGCUUCGGCUACACGUAAAAUAAAGAUACAACUACAACCAUGUUCAUACAACUAAUUCAAAACAAAAAUAAAACUACAAAAGCAAUGAAAAAGAGAUUUUUGGAUAGGGAUUUUUGUACCAGAUCACUCCCUCAUUCAAGAUACACAUAUAGAGAGAUUCCCGCAUUCAGAUUUUGUAACAACCCAUUUUAGAGGAUCGGAAUGCAGAAUAUCUCCAUACGCGCGUUUUGGGCGCACGAAUAACGUGAUAAGAAAGUUUCUACCAAAAAAAUUUCCCAUGCAAUGUCAUGUGUGAAAAUCUCUCACAGUGACUGUCUUUCUAGAAGAAGAAUAUGGACGCUUUAGUGGAGAAUAUUGAUGUACGCAAAGCAUACCGUGAAACAUGCUUAGAUAUUUCAAAUACUAUGAAGGCCACAUAAUGGGGUUAGGUUGUGGAUCGUCAAGGACAAUCUGUCACUAUAAUUAGGUGCGAUUUUGUAAGGUUUCAUAUGCUUCGGCUACACAUAAAAUAAGGAUACAACUACAACCAUGUUCAUACAACUAAUUCAAAACAAAAAUAAAACUACAAAAGCAAUGAAAAAGAGAUUUUUGGAUAGGGAUUUUUGUACCAGAUCACUCCCUCAUUCAAGAUACACAUAUAGAGAGAUUCCCGCAUUCAGAUUUUGUAACAACCCAUUUUAGAGGAUCGGAAUGCAGGAUAUCUCCAUACGCGCGUUUUGGGCGCACGAAUAACGUGAUAGGGAAGUUUCUACCAAAAAAAAUUCCCAUGCAAUGUCACGUGUGAAAUUGACCUCUAGCAGGCCAGACCAUAAACCUUGGGCUGAUAUGAAUCAUCUUAAGGGCCUAAUUUUCUUACCCACUAAUUGUAUUUACCAAAGGAGAGUGCAACUAAGCCCAUCAUGCAACAAUAAGAAUUUCUUCUUCUUUUUUUUUUCUUCCAAUUUUAUCCAUAUAAGAAAUAAAAAAACAAAAAUAAAAUCAGAGGAGAAGGGUUACAAAAUAAAAAUUGUUAGGUAUCAAGACUCUCAACAUCAAACUUUUGGGCUAAAAGAAUUGUCAUACUUUAAAAAAGGAUAUUUAUCACAAAUAAUCUCUAAAAAUUGACCCAUUUUAAUUAAGAUGAUUUUUAAAAUUAAAAAUUAAUCAUUGUAGUUCCUGAAUAUGAAUGACGCUAAUCAAUGUUGUCAUUCUGUUAAAAUUUUGUCAAAACUUCUAUUAGUGGUUUAUGUGGAACAUAUGCGAGACCUGUGAGUCUAAUUAAAUAGUGCUACAUGGAUAAAUUUUCAAAACUAUAUAAAAAUGAGAAUUAUUAUUGUCACUCUAAAAAUCUUAUUUUGCACUCCAACUUUCCAUAAUUAAGAAGAAAAAUGCACUUGUCAGGAGUGUAGAAUAAGAUUUUUGGAGUGCUAAUAACAGUUCCCAUAAAAAGUAAAAAGAAAUGCGAAGAAGACUUUCUCAUAAUUGGGACUUUCGAUGAAUUCUCUUUCACCUCAUGUUUUUAGAACAAUAUUUUAUAAUGUUGACACAUGCAUUGAUGCUAAAGUUAAACUAUGAAGUAGCAGAGAGUCCAUAAAGAGUUAUACUUUUGAGAGAGUCUCCUAAACAUUUCUAAAAAAAUAAUUUAAAUCAUUAAAAUUUAAUUAAAAUUUUAAUAAAAACGUUAGUGUAAUGUGAGAGAUGAAAAUUCAGUAUGAGGAUAUGGAAGUCUAUCUCUUUACUAAAGAAAUAUUUCACACGGAUGAGAACUAUAAUUUUGCUUAUGGAAUGAACUUAGUUGUGGAAGAAUUUUCUUGAGGUACACUUCAGAGUAAGAUUCUCUUAUCUCUUUUUUUCAUCUCUUUUUCCUUCAUCUCUUCUCACACUCUCCCUUUUAUUUUAUUGUUUCUAUGUAAAAAUCAAUAUAAAAUCUUAAUAUUGCUUAAUCGUAACGUUUAAGUAAGAAUGGAGAAAAAUUGAGAGAGAUGAGGAAGAGAGAAUCCACCUCCCUAAAAUUCAGGCCUUCAUCACAGUACAUUCUUACUUUAUUUGGCAGGUAGCCAGCGUCCGUACUCCAAAUUUGUCCUCAUUUGCUCACGAAAUUAUUUCACUGUAUAUUGUUGCCAAGCAAUAUUUAUGGGAUGAGGGCAUUUGUGUUAACUACAUUGAAAUGUUUGGGAAUUGAAGAAAAAAUCAAGAAGAAAUGAUGAAUAGAAGGAUGAAUACAGAGAUCUAGAGAGAGAGAGUUUAGAGAGAGAAAUAUGAUUUAUAUUGACUUACUGAAUGAAAAUUACACACUGUUUUUAUAAGAGAAAUCCUAACUACUUUAACCAAAUACUAACAAACUUAUUAACUGUAUUGCUAACUGUAUUUCUAAUUGUAUUACUGACUUGUACCCUUAAUAAUUUGUCACAGCAAUUUGGCCAGCCAAUAUGAAUUCCUUCCAGUGUUAUGCUCACCAUGGAAUACAAAGCUGGCAGCCAACUGUAGCAUGCUAUCAUAGGAUGCAAAGACUUGUUUUCCGAAUGAUACUUGGCCAGAUGAAAUUAACGUCAAAAGGAGGGAUGGCUCGGCGAAAUUAUCUACCGGGUGAUGGCGCAGAAGUGUUUUGGCCAGAUAGAUGGCUUGACGAAAAUGGCCAUUUGCAUCAAGAAAGCCCUUUCAAAUUCACAGCCUUCCAGGUAAGAAAAAAUGUUGAUUGCAUUCACACCCAUCGCAAAUUUUAUUACCACAGAAAUGCGAAAUUCUAAAGAGAUUUUGUGAUUCGAUGCAGGCUAGUUCAAAUUUACUUAAAGGGAGAUGAUAUUUUCUGCCGUGCGUUUAGACGUCUUCAUAUUCAAGCUAACUGGUGAGGAGAAAGCGUCAAUUGCAGGACGAUGGUCACCCUCCAUGUUGAUGGGGAUUGGGGUAUGUUAACUUAUACAAUUUAUGUACAUUUUACUUAUGGUAUCAUCAAUGGCAUAACCAAAUGUUUUCCUUCUUUUCUUCUUUACAUGCCUUCCAAGAAUGUGCCCCAUUCAAGUCUCGUCUUUAGGAGAAAAACUUAGGGUAGAGACACUCCGACCUAAUCAUCCUGUAUUUUGGUUAGGGUCACAAAAACAAAGAACUCUCUUGUAUUUUCCCCUAGUAAACGAGUCCUACCAAAGUUUUCUUGAUUAUAUGUCUAAUAAAGUAAUCAUCACUGAACUCACAUUUGGUAUUGGAACUUGAAGGUAGUGUGUCUCCAUCAAUAAUGUCCUCCAAAAUGGAAAAUACUGGCUCCUUUUUUUGAAAAUAUUCAGUCCUAGCUACUUACUAAUCACAGCUGGAGAGCUGCGCACAAGCUUUUCUUUAUAUGUUUUUAACAUAAUAUUUUUGCAUGUAUCAAACUGUGAUUUCUUCGUAUGUAGCGUUGAAGAAUCAAAAUGAACUUUAAGAAGCCGAUCACGGUUGCAAAUUAAAACAUGCCUUAAUUUUGUCUUGGUCUACAGAAAACGCAGAGCAUGGGCAGCUGGCUAUAAAAAAACAGAGCCCUUUUUAUUGCCUUUAUCUGGUACAACAGAGAAUAACGUAUUCCAAACAAAAUCAAUUGAUUCAGAAAAGGCAUAAAAAAAUAUUAAGAGAAAUUCUAAGAGCCCACAAUUUUAUUUUUUUAUUACCCUAUUUUUUGUUGAGAUGGAUGCCCAAUUGGGUGCCAAAAGGGAUCAAAAUACAGGCCAAUGGAAGAAAUUAAAGGCAGCCCCCUUGAAUCUCCAAUUUUUAUUCUUACAAUUUUGCCAUGUACAACUCCCCCUUCAAGUCUGUGAAGCCUCUUGUAACCUACUGUGGUUCCAUUUGCCACCCUCUUACCGUCCACGUAAAUUAUGUGCCGUUUGAUCCUCUGACCAAGCCCGAUCGCCUCCUGGAUCCGAAUCACAUUGAAUCUCAGCCCUUCAUCUAAUCUUGUACUUAUAAAUUCAAUCCAAUGGUUCUCCUUUUCAUCAUCCCUUGGAGCCCAAUAUGUCCACAAAUGGUCAUUGUCUAGCAUAUUUUCAGGUUCAAAACCUCCUCCUUUGCCUCCUCUUUGGCUACUAACUUCAAUAGAACAUUUCUCUGCUAAAUUGGUUGAAAAUAUUGUGUCGAUUGCACUUCUGAAUUCUCUCAGUCUUUGAACAUCUUCGUCGGCUAUAAGUCCAGUCG